CUGUCAGUAAUAUAUAUAUAUAAGCAGAAAAGAUAUUGUGAAAGUUUAUAUUACUUAAUUGAUUAUGGUGGUAUAAAAAGAAACUGUUCCAUCUUAAAUCCAACAAUAACAGUAAUAGACUGCUUGGCCUCAAGUUUCAGUGCGACAAACUCCAUCAUUUUCAGCAGUCAAUCAAAUUAACGGGUUAAAUGAGAAUGGUGACUGGUUAAGAGGCAUCAUCGUAAGAACAAUAACUGGCUGUUUUACUAUGCUCUCAACUAUGCUGCUGUUGCUACUGGCUUUACUUUUCCACACAUUUGGUUUAAUCAAAUAGGGCAAGGACAAGGUUCAUAGACGAGACAGCAUCCAUAAAGUAGAUACGGAGGAUAAUGAUAACCAGUCAAUAAGAGUCACAAGAGGUCUACAAGAGGACAUUUGUAAACAUUGGUUAAUUUAUCAACAGCAUACAUUGUCAAAAUCCAAGAGAGUUCGUUCUCCAGUGCUUAGUUCUUCAUUUCAAACUUUUAAUUUCAAAAAGGUUGCUGCUUAACGUGCUACUACAUAAGCCUGAUAAAUUCAUGCUGGUAGCAAUUUUUCCUAUAGAAAAUUUAGUACUGGGAACAAAUUGAAAGUUUUAAUUCAAAGUGCUAAAACUUUUGGAAUCAGCUGGACUGCAAAAAAUUCUACAGAAUAAGAUCAAUUUGAGGAUAAGAAGGAGCCAAAUAUUCCAUUACAAGGUUGGUUUUUGCAUAGAUUUUUCUUGGAUAAACUAGUGAACGAAUCACAAUAGUUAUCGAUUGCUUUAUAAUUGGUAUCAUCUUAUAACUAUUCAAAGUGACAUCGGAUCUUAAGUCUGUAUGGAAACAUUUAACCUACAAAAUUUAUAGGACUUCAAUAUUUUUUACCAGCAAAAGGAAGUCUUUAGCAAGGAGUUAUCAUUGUAAACUUAUCCAGACAAAAAAAAUUGACAAUUAUGUACAACUAUUAUUACUUGAAUUUGAAACUCUCUACCCUUCUGAUGCUGUACCUUCCAGGCGCCUUAAAACUAGUAAAGCUACUGAUAUCAUUGUGUGUGCAUUCUCAAAUAUCUUGAGAAACUUGGAUCAAGCUAACCAGUGUUUUUGAGUAAGCUCGAGAUCCUUACAAAAUUAAGUCAAUGCCAAAAUAUUACAAACUAUCAGGAAUGAAAAUAAAAACUCAAUUCAAGAAUGAACAUAUGGAUUUAUUCAAAGUAUGAGGAUGCUAUACAUAAAAUAUAAGAAUAAUAUAAAAUAAUUCAAGAAGUCAGCGAGAGCUGUUAUAAACUAUCAGCAUUUAAUAAAAUUAAAAGUUGAAUCUGUUAAUGAAUUAUAUUCCGUACAAAUAGCAAAAUUAUCAAUUAAUUUAUAUGAAAAAUUUCUUUGUAAAUAAAAUAAAAAUUUGAAAUGAUAUAA